GUGAAUCAUCGAAUCUUUGAACGCACAUUGCGCCCAUCGGUAUUCCGUUGGGCAUGUCUGUUUGAGCGUCAUUACAACCCUCGACACCAGUCGGUUCUGAGCCCGGGACGGCGUAACACCCGCCCCCGGCUUUAAAGUUGUAAGCUCUGCUGGCCGCUCCGCCUGACCGAAAACAUAGUAAACCUACUUGUUGGAGGGAGCGUGAACGGUACGGCCUGAACAAAACCUACCCAUCUCAAGGUUUGACCUCAGAUCAGAUAAGGAUACCCGCUGAACUUAAGCAUAUCAAUAAGCGGAGGA
rnacentral:misc_RNA from 1 species